ACGGAUAGUGAUGUGUGUUUUAUUAUUCAUUGAUAAGCGUUUUAUUGUGAAUUCGAGUUAAGAUUUUUUUUUAGAGAACGGUUAUAAAAUUAAUGCUGUAUCAGGAGAUCUACAAGAUAUCUGAGUGCAACAAUUAAAAAUGAAACGAUUGAGCUUGGGGACCAAACUCGAAACCCAUCUAGAACAAAUUACAGCGUCACCGUCGUUUUGCCAUCAUAAUGGAUACGACACAGGACAUAUCGAAGGCUUAGCAUUGUUGUGAGGUAUUCAGUAAUAACCAAAUCGGAAAAUGGACAACCAAUUUUUAUAGAACUAAAAGAAGUGUUUCUUGGCUUUUAUACAGCCAUCAAACAUGGCGCAGUAGAUUGUCAACCAAGUCACAACAUUAUCGACAAAAAUAUUGAUUUAAAAAAUGUGUGUGUAAUUAAACCAGUUUGAUGAGCAAUGUACAAAAGCAUAUUAAGGAUAUCCAGCCUAACGCAGAGUACACUACAUUAUGCCACUCAUGAUUUAAAUUUAGUGAUGAAUGAAGUUCAAGUGCAAAGCCAGUGAAACUGCAAGAAAAUGGAAAAUAGGUAUUGAUAGAAAUAAGAAAAAAAACAAAGAAAAGUUUAAAAACAUUUGGAAGAAUUAGCUGCUAAUCACCAAUUUCCAAACCGAGAAAAAAAUAUUUAAAAUUGCGAUUUUUUAAUAAUGGACGUUUUAUUGGUAUGAGUGCAGUCUGUGUGUCAUAUAUUCGAUUUUCUAACACCAACAUUAUUACAUAUUGAUGAAGCAACUUUAUUACAAACGGACGUGUGACGAUUUAGAAAAUAUUUAGAUAUAAUAGGCCCAAGUUUGCACGUCAAUUUAUUAAUAUUUACCACCUAGUUUUACCUCAACUAACUCAAGCAUGGACUGUUGACAAAUUAUGUAACAAAAUAAUGAGCAAAUAUGAAGUGCUAGAAUGCGGAAGUACAGCAAUUUUAUUAUUCUUUACAAUUCCUAUCACUUCUGCAUCAGCUGAAAGAUCAUUUAGCAAAUUAAAAAUAAUAAAACAUUCUUUAAGAAAUAAUAUGGGCCAAAUUCAACUCCGUCAUUUAUUUAUUCGCUAAUAGCAAUUGAAAACAAAACCGCAUCAAGCCUGGAUUUAAGCGAAGUCAUUAAUACUUUUGCGAAAACUAAAGCUAGGAAAAAAUAUAAUAGUUAAUUAGUCAGUUGGUAGGCCCAACCUUUAUAUAGUAAACCCUUGAAUCUUC